UACGAAGGGAGCUAGCGUUGUUCGGAAUCACUGGGCGUAAAGCGCGCGUAGGCGGCCCUGUAAGUCCGCUGUGAAAGUCAAAGGCUCAACCUUUGAAUGCCGGUGGAUACUGGCGACCUUGAGUCCGGGAGAGGUGAGUGGAACUGCGAGUGUAGAGGUGAAAUUCGUAGAUAUUCGCAAGAACACCAGUGGCGAAGGCGGCUCACUGGCCCGGUACUGACGCUGAGGUGCGAAAGCGUGGGGAGCAAACAGG
rnacentral:rRNA from 1 species